GCAGGAAUUCCAUGGGGACAACCCCAACCAGCUGGUGCUGCAGCAGGCAACUCUGCCGCAGAUCCCUGGGGAGUACACAGUGACGAGCCAGGGACAGGGCUGUGCCCUGGUGCAGCUGACCCUGCGCUACAACCUGCCACCAAAAAGCGCCACGACCUUUGACCUGCGUGUGGAGACAGACCCUAAGGAGUGCACUGGGAAUGCCAGAACCCACUUCAGCCUCAUCCUUCAUGCUCGGUACAGCGGAGGACGCUCAGCCACCAACAUGGCC